rnacentral:lncRNA from 1 species
GGGAGGUCUUGGGUUCAAGUCUACCUAUAUUGUUUUAAUUUAUGUUUGUUUCUUUAGUUAUGUGUAGAAAUGUGGAAAGUAAUAUUAAACAGGAUAAAAAUGGUAAGUAGGGCAAAGUGAUCUGGUAGCACAGAAAAAAAUUCGUAAGAGGGAGAAUAUGCAAAGCAAGGGUGUUCUUUUGAUCAAGUUGACAUCUAAGCUUUCAUUAAAGAGGGAGGAGGGACUACAUUGUGAUUGUAUAAGGAGGAAGGAAAAUAUUUUCAUGUGGAACUAAUUAAAUAUUUUUCUUUGAAUCAUAAUGGGUAUGUAGUAAAGCAUAU